CAGAGGGGCCCCCACCAAGAAAACCCAGGAAGCAUUGAGAGUGGCUGUGGGCUGACGCGUCCUGUAUGUUUGACGUAAACAGGAGUGUAUUUUUUCCCAAGAUCAGCCUCUAUACAAAGAGAUUAAAUCAGUCCUAUACAGAGGAACUGGUUUUCUCAUGCCGACCCAUGUUUGCGAAUGCUGUCGAAAGUUCUUCAGAAUGAAGCUAAUCAAAGUGAAAGUGAUGACAGGACAGAUCGUAUUCGAAAUCCCAGUGACCUGACCACAGGAGGAGCCCCACCACCGAAACCCUGCAAGGAGAACUGCAACAUGAAUCGGCCUUAUGCUCCCUGCCUCCAGACCCUAUUCUUCUGAGCCGUUUUCCUUCCUUGUUGCCUGGGUCUUGACGAGACCUAAAGCAGCCAUCCUAGACCGAAGGUGGAAGCUGGGUGCGGACAAUGGCAGAGUCAACCCUCGGGCCCUGGACCACUUUGGUCUGUUGUGUGAAAUAAAAG
rnacentral:lncRNA from 1 species